rnacentral:misc_RNA from 1 species
GAUGAAGAACGCAGCGAAAUGCGAUAAGUAAUGUGAAUUGCAGAAUUCAGUGAAUCAUCGAAUCUUUGAACGCACAUUGCGCCCGCUAGUAUUCUGGCGGGCAUGCCUGUUCGAGCGUCAUUUCAACCAUCAAGCCCCCGGGCUUGUGUUGGGGACCUGCGGCUGCCGCAGGCCCUGAAAAGCAGUGGCGGGCUCGCUGUCACACCGAGCGUAGUAGAUUUUAUCUCGCUCUGGGCGUGCUGCGGGUUCCGGCCGUUAAACCACCCUUUUAACCCAAGGUUGACCUCGGAUCAGGUAGGAAGACCCGCUGAACUUAAGCAUAUCAAUAAGCGGAGGA